rnacentral:piRNA from 1 species
UUAGAUGACCAGUCUUGAAGAGAUUUUGA